rnacentral:tRNA from 1 species
UGACCCAUGGUGUAAUGGUAACACAGCUGGUUUUGGUCCAGCCGUUUCAGGUUCGAAUCCUGGUGGGUCAG